rnacentral:rRNA from 1 species
GAUGAACGCUAGCUACAGGCUUAACACAUGCAAGUCGAGGGGCAGCAUUUCAGUUUGCUUGCAAACUGGAGAUGGCGACCGGCGCACGGGUGAGUAACACGUAUCCAACCUGCCGAUAACUCGGGGAUAGCCUUUCGAAAGAAAGAUUAAUACCCGAUGGUAUAAUCAGACCGCAUGGUCUUGUUAUUAAAGAAUUUCGGUUAUCGAUGGGGAUGCGUUCCAUUAGGCAGUUGGUGAGGUAACGGCUCACCAAACCUUCGAUGGAUAGGGGUUCUGAGAGGAAGGUCCCCCACAUUGGAACUGAGACACGGUCCAAACUCCUACGGGAGGCAGCAGUGAGGAAUAUUGGUCAAUGGGCGCAGGCCUGAACCAGCCAAGUAGCGUGAAGGAUGACUGCCCUAUGGGUUGUAAACUUCUUUUAUAUGGGAAUAAAGUUCUCCACGUGUGGAAUUUUGUAUGUACCAUAUGAAUAAGGAUCGGCUAACUCCGUGCCAGCAGCCGCGGUAAUACGGAGGAUCCGAGCGUUAUCCGGAUUUAUUGGGUUUAAAGGGAGCGUAGGUGGACAGUUAAGUCAGUUGUGAAAGUUUGCGGCUCAACCGUAAAAUUGCAGUUGAUACUGGCUGUCUUGAGUACAGUAGAGGUGGGCGGAAUUCGUGGUGUAGCGGUGAAAUGCUUAGAUAUCACGAAGAACUCCGAUUGCGAAGGCAGCUCACUGGACUGCAACUGACACUGAUGCUCGAAAGUGUGGGUAUCAAACAGGAUUAGAUACCCUGGUAGUCCACACAGUAAACGAUGAAUACUCGCUGUUUGCGAUAUACAGUAAGCGGCCAAGCGAAAGCAUUAAGUAUUCCACCUGGGGAGUACGCCGGCAACGGUGAAACUCAAAGGAAUUGACGGGGGCCCGCACAAGCGGAGGAACAUGUGGUUUAAUUCGAUGAUACGCGAGGAACCUUACCCGGGCUUAAAUUGCAUUUGAAUAUAUUGGAAACAGUAUAGCCGUAAGGCAAAUGUGAAGGUGCUGCAUGGUUGUCGUCAGCUCGUGCCGUGAGGUGUCGGCUUAAGUGCCAUAACGAGCGCAACCCUUAUCUUUAGUUACUAACAGGUUAUGCUGAGGACUCUAGAGAGACUGCCGUCGUAAGAUGUGAGGAAGGUGGGGAUGACGUCAAAUCAGCACGGCCCUUACGUCCGGGGCUACACACGUGUUACAAUGGGGGGUACAGAAGGCCGCUACCUGGUGACAGGAUGCUAAUCCCAAAAACCUCUCUCAGUUCGGAUCGAAGUCUGCAACCCGACUUCGUGAAGCUGGAUUCGCUAGUAAUCGCGCAUCAGCCAUGGCGCGGUGAAUACGUUCCCGGGCCU